rnacentral:rRNA from 1 species
GCUACGGGAGGCAGCAGUAGGGAAUCUUUCACAAUGGGCGAAAGCCUGAUGGAGCAACGCCGCGUGCAGGAUGAAGGCCCUCGGGUUGUAAACUGUUUUUAUAAGCGAGACAUAUGAUGGUCACUUCUGAAUAAGGAUCGGCGAACUACGUGCCAGCAGCCGCGGUCAUACGUAGGAUCCGAGCAUGAUCCGGAGUGACUGGGUGUAAAGAGUUGCGUAGGUGGCAAAAUAAGUAGCUAUUGAAAUCUGGUGGCUCAACCAUUCAGACUAUUAGCUAAACUGUUAAGCUCGAGACCGUUAGGGGUAACUGGAAUGUCUAGUGUAGGAGUGAAAUCCGUAGAUAUUAGAAGGAACACCAAUAGCGUAGGCAGGUUACUGGGACGGUUCUGACACUAAGGCACGAAAGCGUAGGGAGCGAACGGGAUUAGAUACCCUUGUAGUC